rnacentral:rRNA from 1 species
AGAGUUUGAUCAUGGCUCAGAUUGAACGCUGGCGGCAGGCCUAACACAUGCAAGUCGAGCGGUAACAGAAAGUAACUUGCUACUUUGCUGACGAGCGGCGGACGGGUGAGUAAUGCCUGGGAAUAUGCCUUGAUGUGGGGGAUAACCAUUGGAAACGAUGGCUAAUACCGCAUAAUGUCUUCGGACCAAAGAGGGGGACCUUCGGGCCUCUCGCGUCAAGAUUAGCCCAGGUGGGAUUAGCUAGUAGGUGAGGUAAUGGCUCACCUAGGCGACGAUCUCUAGCUGGUCUGAGAGGAUGAUCAGCCACACUGGAACUGAGACACGGUCCAGACUCCUACGGGAGGCAGCAGUGGGGAAUAUUGCACAAUGGGCGCAAGCCUGAUGCAGCCAUGCCGCGUGUGUGAAGAAGGCCUUCGGGUUGUAAAGCACUUUCAGUCGUGAGGAAGGCAGUUGCGUUAAUAGCGUAAUUGUUUGACGUUAGCGACAGAAGAAGCACCGGCUAACUCCGUGCCAGCAGCCGCGGUAAUACGGAGGGUGCGAGCGUUAAUCGGAAUUACUGGGCGUAAAGCGCAUGCAGGUGGUUAGUUAAGUCAGAUGUGAAAGCCCGGGGCUCAACCUCGGAAUUGCAUUUGAAACUGGCUAGCUAGAGUACUGUAGAGGGGG